rnacentral:rRNA from 1 species
AUGAUGGGUCGGGCGGGGAAGCUGACGUGCCUGGAAGAGCUGUGGCUGCACUCUGCGGACAAGUCCCCGGACUUCGCCGCCGAGCUCCGGAAGCUGAGCAAGAUGCGGGUGCUGGUGAUGCACUUUGACGAGGUGGACGAGGGCAUGCAGAAGAAGCUGGUGGAAUCUCUGGUCCAUCUGAACAAGCUCCAGGUCCUGCAGUUCUGGUUCAGCACAGAGGGAAAGAUCCGCCUCAACAGCUGGGGUGACAACGUGCCCUUCCCAGAGCUCCGGCAGCUGCUGCUGUUCGGGGCCAUCCUACCCAAGGAGACACCGUGGAUCCAUCACUCGUCUGCUCCGAAACUCUACAAACUACUGCUGCAGGUGGAGACCUUGCAGGCACAACACCUGGAGAUCCUUGGGCAGAUGCCGUCACUCCGCUCUCUCUACCUCCACAUGGAGGAGGACAAGUAUCGCCUGUCGUACACCGCCGGCAGGGACGAGUUCAAGGUGUUAGAGUGCCUCAACACCAACAUAGAGCUGGUAUGCGGCGAUGGGGCGCUGCCACUAAUUCAGCAGCUGGAGGUUUGCGGCAUCAUAGGGGUGGACGUUGGCCUGCUGGGGAACAUGCCCCUACUCGAGAAGGCCACAUACCACCUCGACUGCAGGGGCUGCGGCCCCGCGGAGGUGCGUGAGGCAGAGGAAGCGCUGGGACAGGCGAGCCAACAACAUCCCAACAGACCAGUCGUCACCAUAAAGAGAUGGAACGACGAGUUAUGUUCCUCUUCAUUUCAGGAAACGAGCGUUAGUGAUUCUGAAAGUGAAAGCCAAGUCUCUACCGACAACAUGUCAGCUUGUUACCACGACCCGUUUGCACGCCAUGUUGAGCCAUCGCCACCUCAGGUCGACACCGACGACAGUGUACUCUCCUUGCUUAACAGCUCGGAUGGAGCCGCUCUUUUGUCGGAUGAAGCGGCCAAGUUAACAAUCGGUCCUCUUCUCUCCGGUGGCUAUUGCUACAUCACCCAAGCUGGCUACCUAGCUUGCAGAGACACUGCCGCUGGGGAAAGGUUACACAGUGCUGAAGCCAUGGAGCCAACCAGUGUAAAGAUGGAAUUAUUAAGAAAGAUCACAACGAAUUUCGCAGAGGAGCGAGUACUUGGUAAAGGUGCAUAUGGAAAAGUUUACAGGGGUGUGUGCGACGACGACGGACAAGUGGUUGCUGUGAAGCUGCUCUAUAAUCUAAAGCAAACAAUUGAUGAUGAACAAUUCAUACGUGAGUUUAAAAACCUUAUGAUGCUAAAGCAUCCGAACAUCGUAAGGUUAGUUGGCUACUGCUAUGAAACACAACGCCAACAUGCAGACUAUGAAGGAACCAUUGUUUUUGGCGAAACAACAGACAAAGCACUUUGCUUCGAGUAUAUGCCCAAGGGGAGCCUUCAUAAUCAUCUGUCCGAUGAAUGCAAUGGACUUGAUUGGCAAUCACGUUACAAAAUUAUCAAAGGGGUUUGUGAAGGCUUAAGAUACCUUCAUGAAGGAUUCGAAAAACCAUUUUAUCAUCUGGACCUAAAACCAGACAAUAUACUUCUAGAUGAAAACAUGCCCCCAAAACUUGCAGAUUUUGGUUUGUCCAAGUGCUAUGGCGAAGAACAGACCAGGAUGACACAAGUCCUAUUGGAACUUUUGGAUACAUGCCACCAGAAUACUUAUUUGGAAGAAAGGUUUCAAAGAAGUUUGACAUUUAUAGUCUGGGUGUUGUAG